GUGGGGAAUAUUGGACAAUGGGCGAAAGCCUGAUCCAGCCAUGCCGCGUGUGUGAAGAAGGUCUUCGGAUUGUAAAGCACUUUAAGUUGGGAGGAAGGGUAGUAACCUAAUACGUUGCUACUUUGACGUUACCGACAGAAUAAGCACCGGCUAACUUCGUGCCAGCAGCCGCGGUAAUACGAAGGGUGCAAGCGUUAAUCGGAAUUACUGGGCGUAAAGCGCGCGUAGGUGGUUCAGUAAGUUGGAAGUGAAAUCCCCGGGCUCAACCUGGGAAGUGCUGUCAAAACUGCUGAGCUAGAGUACGGUAGAGGGUGGGGGAAUUUCCUGUGUAGCGGUGAAAUGCGUAGAUAUAGGAAGGAACACCAGGGGCGAAGGCGACUACCUGGACUGAUACUGACACUGAGGUGCGAAAGCGUGGGGAGCAAACAGGAUUAGAAACCCCUGUAGUCC
rnacentral:rRNA from 1 species